UACGGGGGGGGCAAGCGUUGUUCGGAAUUACUGGGCGUAAAGGGUUCGUAGGUGCCAACUAAGUCAGACGUGAAAUCCCUCAGCUCAACUGGGGAACUGCGUCUGAUACUGGUCGGCUUGAGUGCAGGAGAGGAACGCGGAAUUCCAGGUGUAGCGGUGAAAUGCGUAGAUAUCUGGAGGAACACCGGUGGCGAAGGCGGCGUUCUGGACUGCAACUGACACUGAGGAACGAAAGCCAGGGGAGCAAACGGG
rnacentral:rRNA from 1 species